rnacentral:rRNA from 1 species
GUGAACGCUGGCGGUAGGCCUAACCCAUGCAAGUCGCACGGCAGCACAGUAAGAGCUUGCUCUUACGGGUGGCGAGUGGCGGACGGGUGAGGAAUACACCGGAAUCUACUUUUUCGUGGGGGAUAACGUAGGGAAACUUACGCUAAUACCGCAUACGACCUACGGGUGAAAGCAGGGGAUCUUCGGACCUUGCGCGAUUGAAUGAGCCGAUGUCGGAUCAGCUAGUUGGCGGGGUAAAGGCCCACCAAGGCGACGAUCCGUAGCUGGUCUGAGAGGAUGAUCAGCCACACUGGAACUGAGACACGGUCCAGACUCCUACGGGAGGCAGCAGUGGGGAAUAUUGGACAAUGGGCGCAAGCCUGAUCCAGCCAUACCGCGUGGGUGAAGAAGGCCUUCGGGUUGUAAAGCCCUUUUGUUGGGAAAGAAAAGCAGCAGGUUAAUACCCCGCUGUUCUGACGGUACCCAAAGAAUAAGCACCGGCUAACUUCGUG